GGAAAGGGGGAUGUGAUUAAAAAAAUUGGGUUCAAUUUUCUCAUUUGAAAUUUCAUAAAUAAAAAAGAAAAUUUCUUCAAACAUUUUUUUGAGAGGAUUAAUAUUCAACAGCAUAGUGAAUUGCUCUAAGAGAAACAAAAAUUUUAAGUUCAUUAGAACACAUUCAUUCUGUGUCAGAAACCUAUGCUGUGUCAACUAUUUAAUCACAAUCCAAAUUUAGAGCUGAAUCCAGCUUGAAUGUUGUGUCCAUACUUGCCCUAACCGUUCAGGGUUCAACCUCUGCGGUUGUAUAAAGCUACGCCCUGCGGAGCAUCUGGUUUU
rnacentral:lncRNA from 1 species